rnacentral:rRNA from 1 species
UCGCUACUACCGAUUGAAUGUUUUAGUGAGCCCUCUGGAUUGUUGUAUCUCGUUGGAAACUUCGAGACACUUUCGAGAAGGAGGUCAAACUUGAUCAUUUAGAGGAAGUAA